CCUACGGGAGGCAGCAGUGGGGAAUAUUGGACAAUGGGCGCAAGCCUGAUCCAGCCAUGCCGCGUGAGUGAUGAAGGCCCUAGGGUUGUAAAGCUCUUUUGUACGGGAAGAUAAUGACGGUACCGUAAGAAUAAGCCCCGGCUAACUUCGUGCCAGCAGCCGCGGUAAUACGAAGGGGGCUAGCGUUGCUCGGAAUCACUGGGCGUAAAGGGUGCGUAGGCGGGUUUUUAAGUCAGAGGUGAAAUCCUGGAGCUCAACUCCAGAACUGCCUUUGAUACUGAAAGUCUUGAGUAUGGGAGAGGUGAGUGGAACUGCGAGUGUAGAGGUGAAAUUCGUAGAUAUUCGCAAGAACACCAGUGGCGAAGGCGGCUCACUGGCCCAUAACCUGACGCUGAGGCACGAAAGCGUGGGGAGCAAACAGGAUUAGAUACCCUGGUAAGUCCACGCCGUAAACGAUGAAUGCCAGCCGUUAGUGGGUUUACUCAACUAGUGGCGCAGCGUACGUACUUACGUCAUCCGUCCGUCGGGAGGUACGGUCGCGAAGAAUUAAACUACAAGGAAGUUAGACGGCGUGAGACGUACGCCGAACGGACGACGACGAGGGAGGUAGG
rnacentral:rRNA from 1 species